rnacentral:rRNA from 1 species
GACGAACGCUGGCGGCGUGCUUAACACAUGCAAGUCGAACGGAAAGGCCCUGCUUUUGUGGGGUGCUCGAGUGGCGAACGGGUGAGUAUCACGUGAGUAACCUGCCCUUGACUUUGGGAUAACUUCAGGAAACUGGGGCUAAUACCGGAUAGGAGCUCCUGCUGCAUGGUGGGGGUUGGAAAGUUUCGGCGGUUGGGGAUGGACUCGCGGCUUAUCAGCUUGUUGGUGGGGUAGUGGCUUACCAAGGCUUUGACGGGUAGCCGGCCUGAGAGGGUGACCGGCCACAUUGGGACUGCGAGACGGCCCAGACUCCUACGGGAGGCAGCAGUGGGGAAUAUUGCACAAUGGGCGGAAGCCUGAUGCAGCAACGCCGCGUGCGGGAUGACGGCCUUCGGGUUGUAAACCGCUUUCGCCUGUGACGAAGCGUGAGUGACGGUAAUGGGUAAAGAAGCACCGGCUAACUACGUG